rnacentral:rRNA from 1 species
AUUGAACGCUGGCGGCAGGCCUAACACAUGCAAGUCGAGCGAGCGGCGGAAGGGUGAGGAAUGUAUGGGGACUGCACGAUAGAGGGGGAUAACUACUGGAAACGGUAGCUAAUACCGCAUACUAUCGAAUAACCCAUCUGGGAUUAGAUAGUAGGUGAGGUAAUGGCUCACCUAGGCGACGAUCCCUAGCUGGUCUGAGAGGAUGAUCAGCCACAGUGGGACUGAGACACGGCCCAGACUCCUACGGAGGCAGCAGUGGGGAAUAUUGCACAAUGGGCGCAAGUCUGAUGCAGCCAGGCCGCGUGUAUGAAGAAGGCCUUAGGGUUGUAAAGUUCUUUCAGUCGGGAGGCGUUACCGACAGAAGAAGCACCGGCUAACUCCGUGCCAGCAGCCGCGGUAAUAC